UACGGGGGGGGCAAGCGUUGUUCGGAAUUACUGGGCGUAAAGGGCUCGUAGGCGGCCAACUAAGUCAGACGUGAAAUCCCUCGGCUUAACCGGGGAACUGCAUCUGAUACUGGAUGGCUUGAGUUCGGGAGAGGGAUGCGGAAUUCCAGGUGUAGCGGUGAAAUGCGUAGAUAUCUGGAGGAACACCGGUGGCGAAGGCGGCAUCCUGGACCGAGAUUGACGCUGAUGCGCGAAAGCCAGGGGAGCAAACGGG
rnacentral:rRNA from 1 species